UCAAUAUUUACAUUCAAAUGGAAAACCAUACGUAUUUCUUCGUCCUCUUGUACCGUAUUCAGUUGACUGCGUCCUGCAAGGAGAAACGGACACAAUGUCAGAAAUUAGUGUAACAAGAGAAAACGUGUGGCAGUAUUACGAAAAAGUGUCGGAUUACCAAGCAAAAUGCAGAUUCUGCAGGAAUGAAUAUACUUACACUUAUAUAAAUUUCAGUAAACAUAUAAAAAAGCAUCCUUGUAUAAUAGAAUACGAAGAAUAUAAAGGACGACAAGAAUGGCCAUGGAUAUGUUUCAAGUACAACGAUACUUCCACCUCACAAUGUCUUUUCUGUUGUGAGAAUUUCCGAUCUAAUUUUCAAUUUUUAGCUAAUCAUUUAAAACAAAAGCAUUCUAAUAAAGUGGAGAGUUACGUACUUUACGAUUGGACAUGGAAAUAUUUUGCGAAAGUUAAUGAUUUUAAAAUUGAAUGUACCGUGUGUAUCUACAGUGAAUCAUGUAUUUUGUCAUCCAAUAUAAGGAAACAUCUAGUACAGAAACAUUUAAAAGAAUUAAAAACUGCACAAGAAACACGCGACAUAGCUCUUUCGUUAGAAACCGUUCAGAAUUUAAAAAGUAUGGAAAUUAAAGAAAACAUGUGGGAAUAUUAUACCAAAGUGACGUAUUUUCAAGUAAAAUGCAAAUUCCAAAAUACCCAUCUAUUUUUUAAUUAUAAUUUACAAUUUUAUAUGCAUGUAAAACAAAAACAUGAAGAAAUCUGUAAAUGGGAAGAGGAUCACAAAAUUGAAAAAUGGCCAUGGAUGUGUUUUAAGUAUUCGUACGAAUAUAUUUCCGAUAAAAGCAUACUAUUCUCAGAAUGUUUCUUGUGUGGUGAUUUCUUUCCGGCCGAUAAAAUUUCUACAACGACACAUCUCUCAGACAAGCAUUCUGCGACAGGAAUGCGUAAUUUUACAGAUAAUUGGAUAAUAAAAUAUGUUAUACAAAGUGCUGACACUAGAAAGUUCAAGUGUACUAUUUGUUGCAAAAACUUAACCAUUGAUAUUAGUAGUGAAAUGUAUUAUCAUACAAUUAAAAGUCAUCCGGAAGAAUUGCAAUCGAUUAUUUCAAGAAAAGACACGCAAAAACUGUGGCAAAAUUACAAAAAUUUGCGAAAUUUUCAAAUACAAUGCCAACAUUGCGAUUUUCAAUAUUGUUAUAUCAAUACAACAAACUUUAUUGAUCACAUAAAAAAAGAGCAUAUUGAUGAAUAUAAUUACGAAGAAACAAACGGGAAACAAUGGCCGUUCAAGUUUUUCAACUUUAUUAGCUCAACUACCGUACAAUGUUGCCUUUGUAUUGUUAUUAUUUUAUCUUUUGAUAUAAAUAAAUUGGAAACUCACUUGAAUCUGCAUUUUUCUAAGAAACCGAAUUACUUUAUCGACUGCGACUGGAUAUGGAAAUACUGUAAAAAAGUUGGUGAUUUUGAAGUGGAAUGUUUUUGUCAAAGGAAAAUAUCUCUUGAUGUUUCGUUAUGGUAUUUUGAUCAUCACAUUGCAGCUACACAUCCGAACAGGCUGCCAAGUACACAGAGAACGCAUGACAUAGCUAAACCAUCAGGAAGCCAACCAAACUGAAUAAAACAGGGCUACAAUAUGGAUGGUCACGAUCUUUCUGGCUACUUUUCGAUUGGCGCCAUUCUUUGUCUGAUUGAACAACAUUUUCGAGAUGAGGUUGGUUGCAAAGAAGUUGGUGAUCAUGUACAGGCGACCAUUUGGACAGCGGAUCAGAAACAUACUGGUAUAUGAAUUUUUUGACACUUGUGAUGAUACCCGUACGAUGGUGCAUUCCUAAUGCAUGAUAUGAGUCUUAAGCUACAGGAUACGUCGCGAAGCAUACAUCAGUAAUGAAAUCAUUAUACAUCACAAAGCACUGCAAGCGGCUUGCGAAAAAUCUAAGACUAAUGGUGGUAUCGAAUCGUAAGUUGCGCAUACGUACGUAGCUGCCAACGAGAGUGCAGACAGAUGAAACAGAGUAAUGAGAAAUUCUUUCUGUACUUCUGAAUUCGAUUUGGAAGCCCAUGGGAAUCCUCUGUCGCUCGCUAAUACAGCUCCGCGUAUUAGCGCUAUUACGU